AGUCACUGACAUUAGAUACCCCUGUAGUCCAGGGUGUAAACGCUGCAGACUUGGUGUUGGAGCCCGUUUGGGGGCAUUCAGUGCCGGAGAGAAGUUGUUAAGUCUGCUACGUUGGGGAGUACGUCCGCAAGGAUGAAAACUUAAAGGAAUUGGCGGGGGAGCACCGCAACGGGAGGAGCGUGCGGUUUAAUUGGAUUCAACACCGUAAAACUCACCAGGGAAGACUGUUACAUGAAGGCCGAGAUGAAGACUCUGCUAGAUUUUCAG
rnacentral:rRNA from 1 species